rnacentral:rRNA from 1 species
AUGGCGUCGCCGGAGCGGGAGGCGGUGGCGGCGACAGCCAUCGUGGAGGACGUGCUGAGGAUGCACGGGGAAGGAUUAGGGGCAGGAGGGGGUGUAGGUCAAGUGCUGGUGAUGGGGAGGAACAUUGACAUGGCCUGGCGCAAGGCCGAGGUGGCCGCAGUAAGAAGGAAUGAAGCAGCCAGCUGGUUGAGAAGGACAGUAGGGGUAGUCUGCGCCAAGAACCUUGCCGAAGAACCAUCUGAGGAGGAAUUCCGGGUUGGCCUGAGGAAUGGCAUCAUUCUUUGCAAUGCAGUCAACAAGAUUCAGCCUGGCACCGUGCCGAAGGUUGUGGAGGUCCACUCGGUUUCUACUAUCCCUUCAGAUGGUUCAGCUCUCUGUGCAUACCAGUACUUCGAAAACGUGAGGAAUUUCCUCACAGGCCUACAAGAUUUAGGUCUCCCAACAUUUGAGGUGUCCGACCUGGAAAAGGGUGGACAAGGGGUCCGAGUUGUAGACUGUGUUCUUGCCCUCAAGUCAUUUGCUGAAACUAAGCAACUCGGCAAACAAUCUUUGUUUAAACAUGGCGGCAUUGUAAAGCCUUCAAUGUCCGCAAAAUGCUCUGUUCGUAAGAACGAACCUUUUAUGAAGGCGAUGACGAGGAGUCACUCAGCUGAGCUACUCCGGGAUGGCGUAUCACUGGAGCAAACUUUAGGUCUUGAUUGUUUUCUAGAACCCGCUGAAACAAUAACUUCAGACUCCAUCAGAAUGCUUGUUCAAACAAUUCUAUCAGAUAAGAAACCAGAAGAAGUUCCAUUGCUUGUAGAAUCACUCUUGAGCAAGGUUAUUCAUGAAUUUGAGCGUCGUAUGGCAAACCAGAAUGAUUUGGUGAAAUACACUGUAGAUCCUAAUGACAGUAGCUCAUUAUCUAAAACAGAGUCAUCAGACACACCACAGGAAAUGGAGGCAACUUCCACCAGCGAUCAUGGGAAGAUGGACGAAGAAGAUCACGAGUCUGUCACUAAUCAUGUGAAGACGGACGAAGAAGACAACAGUUCUGUCACUAACAACGAGAAGAUGGACGACGAAGAUCACAAUUCUGUGGGUAGUACGGGAGAUGUCAGUGCUGCUGUGCUGGUGAACGGUGAUAGCGUGGCAAAAGAUAUACAGGCAAAGGCAGAUAUACAUUUUGAGCUACAAAAGAAACAGAUCCAGGAUAUGAAAAGUAACCUUUGUACUGUUAAGUCUGGGAUAGAGCAGUUCAAAUUGCAAUACUCUGAAGACCUUGCUAAGCUUGGAAAUCAUCUGCGCACUAUUUCUCAUGCGGCUUCUGGGUAUCAUAAAGUUCUUGAGGAAAACCGUAAGCUGUACAACCAAAUACAGGAUCUUAGAGGAAAUAUUAGAGUGUACUGUCGAGUGAGACCUUUCCUGCCUGGAAAGGUAAGUUCCUCAAGCAGUGUUGCUGGCAUAGAAGAUAGAACUAUCACUCUCAUGACUUCAUCGAAACAAGGAAAAGAUGCGCGGAAAUCUUUUACUUUCAAUAGGGUCUUUGGGCCCUUAGCCACACAAGCGGAGAUCUUCGUUGACAUGCAGCCUUUAGUCCGUUCUGUUCUUGAUGGUUACAACAUAUGUAUAUUUGCGUAUGGCCAAACUGGGUCAGGGAAGACCUUUACAAUGAGCGGUCCUAAAAUACUGACAGAAGAAGGGCUUGGUGUCAAUUAUAGGGCUUUAAAUGAUCUGUUCGAUAUUCAAGCACAGAGGAGGGACACAUUUUGUUAUGAAAUUUCUGUGCAGAUGAUGGAGAUCUACAAUGAACAAGUGAGAGAUCUUCUUCACAGUGGUCCAAACAAGAAAUUAGAGAUUCGAAAUAGCUCUCAGAAUGGCAUUGCAGUUCCAGAUGCAAACAGAGUUCCGGUCGCGUCGACCUCCGAUGUGGUUGAUUUGAUGAAUCUUGGUCAAAAGAACCGUGCAGUUUGCUCAACGGCUAUGAAUGACAGAAGUAGUCGCUCCCAUAGUUGUGUAACAGUCCAUGUUCAAGGGCAAGAUUUAACAUCAGGCACGGUGCUAAGAGGCUGCAUGCAUCUUGUGGAUUUAGCUGGUAGCGAAAGAGUCGAUAAAUCCGAGGUUGUGGGAGACAGGCUGAAGGAGGCACAACACAUAAACAAGUCACUGGCAGCACUAGGGGAUGUCAUCGCGUCCCUCGCCCAGAAAAGUGCGCAUGUUCCUUACCGGAAUAGCAAACUUACUCAGUUACUGCAGGACUCUCUUGGAGGACAAGCAAAAACAUUGAUGUUUGUUCACAUAGCCCCCGAACCGGAUGCCAUUGGUGAAUCAAUAAGCACUUUGAAGUUUGCUGAGAGAGUUGCCACUGUUGAGCUUGGAGCAGCCAAGACAAACAAGGAAGGAGGAGAAGUCAAAGAGCUCAAAGAACAGAUUGCUUGCCUCAGGGCAGCUUUGGCUAGCAAAGAUGGAGAAAAUGAAAGCAUACGAAGUACACAUUCGAGCCCAGAUAUAUUAAGAGACAUUAGGAUCAGUCAUGCAUCCCCAGAAUCCGGGCACCCAGGGGAAGAAGCUGGAUGUCUAGAGGUCCGAAGCAAUGGUACUCCCACAAGGCAGACCAAGCCAAACUUCGAAUUGUCAGACAUGCUUGUCGAGAGCGAUCCAUCUUUGUGGCUUGAUGGUUGUAAUGGCGACAAUACCCGGUUGAGGAGCAUUAAUUCAUUACCAGAAUUGGGACCUGAUGCUACACAUGAUCUAGCAUUGUAUCAACGAAGCAGUCUUGACCAACAAUGGAGUCGGGCCGGGUCUAUCGCGACAGAGGAUUCAGAUGAAGGCGAAUUUGAAACUACUUGCUCAUCAGAACAAGAUUCAGUGCGGCCAGCCAGCGCCCCAGAAGCUUCUGUUACUGCCAAUGGGGGCGCCUCAGUUGCAAAGAAGGCCCAACCCAAAAGUGUAAAAAGUACAGACAUCAGAGGGACAAAUCCUGCGAAAAGGACAUCUCCGUUACCGAAAAAGGCUAAUGGAACGGCUCAUAUCCCAAUCAAGAAUGGUAAACAAUCAACUUUGGGUGGGGUGGAUGGAAAGAAAACUCCAAAUGGUAAAGUGAACACCAAGAAGUAA